rnacentral:rRNA from 1 species
GACGGGGGAUGCAAGCGGUAUCCGGAAUCCCUGGGCGUAAAGCGUCUUUAGGUGGUGAUGCAAGUCACUGGUGCAAAACUCUGGCUCAACCGGAGGAAAACCAGUGAAACUGCAUGACUAGAGUGUGGGAGAGGUAGAAGGAAUUCACUGAGUAGCGGUGAAAUGCGUAGAUACAGGGAAGAACACCAGAGGCGAAAGCGUUCUACUGGAACACAACUGACACUGAGAGACCUAAGCUAGGGUAGCGAAUGGG